rnacentral:rRNA from 1 species
UACGUAGGGCGCAAGCGUUGUCCGGAAUUAUUGGGCGUAAAGAGCUCGUAGGCGGCUUGUCACGUCGGGUGUGAAAGCCCGGGGCUUAACCCCGGGUCUGCAUUCGAUACGGGCAGGCUAGAGUGUGGUAGGGGAGAUCGGAGUUCCUGGUGUAGCGGUGAAAUGCGCAGAUAUCAGGAGGAACACCGGUGGCGAAGGCGGAUCUCUGGGCCAUUACUGACGCUGAGGAGCGAAAGCGUGGGAGCGAACAGG